rnacentral:piRNA from 1 species
UUUCUGUUGAUAUAGUGCUU